ensembl:lncRNA
CUUUGCUCAUGAUUCAUUGUUAUUAUUUUAAAAUCUGAAAAGGUUUUUCAAAGAGUAACUAGAUAUCAGUUUUAGAAACAGCAGUAGGCAGUAUAUGCUUUGAAUGACUACAGGAGCUCAGACUUUAGUUAAGAACCUGUGGGUUUAAAGUGCAGGGACAAAUUUAUCCUGCCAAAAAAUGAAAUGUGUUACAGGACUUUUCAACAGAAAAAAGCAAACAAAACAAAAACAGUUCAAAAUAUGUUUGAUGAUUUAGUUCUGUUCAGUUUGUGUUUGGUGAAACAAUCCACAACUUAAUAUCUUGUUUGGAAAAUGUAUGAAUAUAAAUACACCCCAGCAGUCUCACAAUCCCUGGAUGCCUAAAGCAACCUGUUUAACCACUCAACCACAAAUAGAAAAAACUAUUUGACUGCCAUUUGAAUGUCUCUGGUGAAAACACAUUCCAGAAACAUUUGAAUGUGUGUUUCUGGAACAGGAAGAACCUAUGCUCAGAGCUUCACAGCAGUACAUAUGGCUGCAGUGCAGCUUUACGCGCUGUAGUGUGUUAUAACUAAAUGAUUGAAAGAUGAGUGUUGGUGUUUCGUGUGCUAUAAAGCUGAGGACAGAUAUUGAAUUGAAAGGUUCAGAUUUACCCCCAUGUUAUUUUUAUCACUAUGGGGAAUAGGAGGAAUCCAGUGGACUUCCUUCUCCUUGUCUCCUUAAAUGCUGAUCUUGAAACUGUAAAGAGUAGAGUCAUCUCUUCAGCAGAAAAAAAUUAAAUGUCCUUACAUUUAUUUUUUUUGGGGGGGUGGGCAAAGAUUUGGUAAGAAAUAAUGGUUUGGUUUAAAAAUACUGUAAAAUCACCAGCUCAAAGGAGUUUAAUUUAGGAAAUCUGUUCCUGUAUAAUUUCCACACAAAAAAGAGACUAGAUCAUGUAUUAGCGUGCUGUCUCUCCUUCAACAGAUGUUCUGCAUAACACAUUUUUAUAUACAAUUAUUAUUGAAAUUAUUAUUAUGUUAAAAUACAAUAUAUUUUUGGGCUUACUAAGAUACAUUUGUAAUAUACAGGUAUUUUUAUAAUAAUAUUCCAGCACCACCAACCAUCCACUCUGAAUCUAGUGGCCCUGAUGCUCUUAUGUGAAUUAAUACAGACAGUAAUUCUGAAAAGAUGGAGACCAGGACAAGGAUUCUUUGGAAGUGUUAGGACUCCUGACCCCAAACCAAGCUCCUAGGCCCUAGCUGUAUACUAAAUACUAAGUGUAGAUCUUAAGUCAUUGCAUAGGUUUAAGUGUGAUGAAAGUCCAACUACACUAAAAUACUUUUUCUGUGUAAUUAAUUCAGAUCUGAAUCUAGUGCCUAGGGGUAUAGCUAGGGGUAGAUUUAGAAAUGGGCAAAAGGUUGGACCUAGAUUGUUCCAGGUCAGCCCCCAUAGACUACACUUUGACCUGGCGUUCGGGGAAAACGGGACAGAAUGUAUGUUACAAAACAAACUGGAUCAAGUGCACUGUAAAUAUGAAUAUGAAGUUCAUUGAUGUGAUUUUUUUUUAAGUCCAUAUAUAAUUUUACCCUGCUUUUAUUAUUUAGAUUUAAACAACUGCAUUUUGAAUUUAUGAUCGUGUUUUGUAAUUUUAUUUGCACUAAAUAUUAACAAA